rnacentral:misc_RNA from 1 species
UUAAGUUCAGCGGGUAGUCUUACCUGAUUUGAGGUCAAAAUUGUCAAAAGUUGUCCAGAGGACGGUUAGAAGCAGGUCUAUAUAGUCUUCCAAAUCCACGGCGUAGAUAAUUAUCACACCAAUAGACAGUCCACGCGGGGCACCGGCUAAUGCAUUUAAGGGGAGCUGACUAUCUGAGAAGCCAGCAAAAUAGACCCCCA